rnacentral:lncRNA from 1 species
CAUCUCCAUCCCAUCUACACACAUCCACCCACAUAUCCACCUGCCAUCUCCAUCCCAUCUACACACAUCCACCCACAUAUCCACACACCACCUCCAUCCCAUCUACACACAUCCACACAUGUGCAUGCACCAUCUCCAUCCCAUCUACACACAUCCACCCACAUAUCCACACACCACCUCCAUCCCAUCUACACACAUCCACCCACAUAUCCACCUGCCAUCUCCAUCCCAUCUACACACAUGCACACACAUAUCCACACACCACCUCCAUCCCAUCUACACACAUGCACACCCACAUAUCCACCUGCCAUCUCCAUCCCAUCUACACACAUCCACCCACAUAUCCACCUGCCAUCUCCAUCCCAUCUACACACACCCACCCACAUAUCCACCUGCCAUCUCCAUCCUAUCUACACACAUCCACACACAUAUCCACACGCCAUCUCCAUCCCAUCUACACACAUCCACACACAUAUCCACACACCAUCUCCAUCCCAUCUACACACA